AUUAUUUUAGAGAUCAGGGCAGAGCUGUGGGGAUCAGUAGCUGAUGGAGGCAAAUGCUAAAUCGUUCCUCAUUCAUAUUCAUAUCUUCUCUUCCUUCCCCUCCCCUCUGUCUCUUCCUCUGGAGAGAGCGUCACCUCCACCCUCUUGGAUGCAAGGCGGGGCAGAGUGGAAGAAAGCAGAAUGCCCCUGCACUAGGUAAAGCAGUGAAGCAUCUGUCGGUGAGUAGCCUGUCGGGGUGGCAGAGCAAGUGGGAAUGGAGAGCCCGAGCUUCAUCUGUCUGUGUCCAGUGACUGAGCACCUGUAAGUUCCCACAGACAGUGGCAUUCUCCAGUUGCCCCAGUUCCAGCUCUGGCUGCCAUCCGUCCAUCCAUCCAUCCAUGACACAUCUGCAAGGACAGAGGUCACCCAUGGUGGGUGCCGUAUGGUUCUCUGGGUGAAAUCGCUUUA
rnacentral:lncRNA from 1 species